rnacentral:rRNA from 1 species
GUUGAACGCUGGCGGCGUGCCUAACACAUGCAAGUCGAGCGAACGGACGAAAAACUUGCCUUUCUGACGUUAGCGGCGGGCGGGUGAGUAACAUGUGGAUAACCUAGCUAUAAGACUGGGAUAAACUCGGGAAACCGGAGCCAAAACCGGAAGAUAGUCUGAACAGCAAGGAUCAAAAGUGAAAGACGGUUUUGCUGUGACUGAGAGAUGGUUCCGGGCUGCAUUAGCUAGUUGGUAGGGUAACGGCUUACCAAGGCGACGAUGCGUAGCCGACCUGAGAGGAUGAUCAGCCACACUGGAACUGAGACACGGUCCAGACUCCUACGGGAGGCAGCAGUGGGGAAUCUUGCACAAUGGGCGAAAGCCUGAUGGAGCAAUGCCGCGUGUGUGAUGAAGGUCUUCGGAUCGUAAAGCACUGUUAGUAGGGAGGAAGGGAUGUAAGUGAAUCUGUGCGCAUCUUGACGGUACCUAAUGAAGAAGCCCCGGCUAACUCCGUG